UACGUAGGAGGCGAGCGUUGUCCGGAAUCACUGGGUGUAAAGCGCGUGUAGGCGGCCUGCCAAGUCUGCUGUGAAAGCGCCUGGCUUAACCGGGCGAGGUCGGUGGAAACUGGCGGGCUGGAGGACGGUAGAGGGGGGUGGAAUUCCUGGUGUAGCGGUGAAAUGCGCAGAUAUCAGGAGGAACACCAAUUGCGAAGGCAGCUCGCUGGGACGUUACUGACGCUGAGACGCGAAAGCGUGGGGAGCAAACAGG
rnacentral:rRNA from 1 species